GAGUCGUCUCGCCGGACGCGGGGGCCCACCACAACCCCCAGCCUCUCUCCACUCUGCUUCGUCAUUUUGAGGCGCGUUGCCGGAGGUCCGCCGGAGAUUGGGAAGGCAUUGUAGAAGCGGGAGGAGAGAACCCCCUACAUAAGGAGGAUAGAGGGGCUAGAGCUCCGCGCGCAGUGACCACUAGGCGGAGGCGGAAGGGUGGCGUCCGGGGCCGUCGCUUCUCUGCGUGCCGCGUCCACGAAGCGACGGAUCGAACGGGAGGGACACCGCACGUCUGUGCAGCUCGACUCCUAGCGGCGAAGAGCGAGAGCCAGAAGCGCCAUCGUCAGCGGUCGAGAAAUCAGGCCUCAGAUCGCCGGGGGGCGCAGUUAGGCCGUGUCUGGCCGCCGGAGGCUGUCGCGCUCGUACAGCUCAUACUCUCUGCUAGCUUGGUGAGCUCCUCGUCUUCAUGAGUACCCCGACUUCCUCGCGUCUCACCCGAACUCCAGCGGAAGCUAACUGCCAUGGGCCUCACUAAAUUCAAAGUUAAAGCAACAUUUUUGAGGUUUUAUGCACACGCCCAAGCAAGAAGGUCCAACACCCAUUUUCAGUAAAAUCAAUACUAGCUGCUCAUGUCAGAAAAACAAGGGGAAAACACUGGAAAAAUAGUUGCAAUCAAGAUGAAUAAGGCUUUUGUAAAAGUGAAGGUGCUUGAGAGGGCACAUCAAGAUAGAAGCGCACCUCUCAGGUCCAUGGCCUCCAAAAUGGGGGCAACAGUUGUGGCAAUGGAGGAGAGGACAGAUGGAGAAGGGCAUGUCAAGGGGGGAGGUUUGGGAGUCUGCGACUGGGAAGGGGAAGGAGGAUUUGGUGCAUCGGCAUGAGCAGCAGUUACGAUUGUGACAGACUCGUCCCUGGGGGCCAUGUGCGUGAGGCGUUUCUUUCCUUUUUUGGUUUGCUAGCUAUAUCCGGGGAGAGGUCCACUACCAAUUUUGGGGUGUGUGCUCUGGACCGCUAGCCAGCCAACGCUUGCUGGCUAGUCGUGUCCAAUAGUAAAAAUUUCAUAAAAAGGAAAUUUCCUAAGGAGGAAUGAAUUAAUCAAACAGAAACUUAAACAAAAUCAAAAUAUGAACUUUUCUAUAAGAAUGAAUUAGUGGUUUUGGUAUUACCCAUUAAGAAGAGAGAAAAUCAAAAAAUAAAAUCAAAACAAUGGGAUUAUCUAAGGAAUAAUAAAUUAGUGACAUUGGUGUUACCCUUUAAUAAGAAAUAAAAUAAACUAAAAACUCAAACAAAAAUUGCACUUUUAAAAUAUAUGCAAGAAUAAACAUAUAAUAGCGAUGUCUUUGCAAAAAAAAUCCUAAGAAGGGAUGAGUUAGUGGCAUUGGUAUUGCCCAUAAAGAGGAAAGAAAAAUAUAACGGUAACUAAAACAAAAUUAAAAUAUAAUGGCCAAUCGUGUGAGUGCCUAGUGGGUUCUUCCUCAUAGGGUUUUGCGAGGGAGGAGGCAAGAUAGUGUUAUGACUGUGGUUAGGUAAGUGAUUAGAGUAGUUGCUUUAUAAUGUUUCUUUACCUUCAUAAACUCUCUCAUCUCGUGCUUGACACCGCUAAAUCACAUAGCCUCUUCUUUGACAAUGUUGCAUGCUGGCUUAGGUCUGAUGCAAGUCUUCAAGAAUACACAACAUUGUUCAUAGGACUAUCCUACGAUGUUUAAGACUCACCAUUUCUAUAAACAAUCUACUCCAUAGGACUAAUCCUAUGAUGCAGACCCUAGGUGGCUGCCUGAGACCUUGUGGGGGUGGGAUCGUCUUCUUUUCCAUUUUUAGCCUCUUAGGCACUUACAUCAUGUUUGUAUUCAGACCUACCAUGUUUCCUGCUAUGUAUGAAUGUUAUGUUGAGCCAUGAGGUUCUAGUUGUAAUAAAUUGGAUCUUGACUCAUCAAA